GACGAACGCUGGCGGCGUGCUUAACACAUGCAAGUCGAACGGAAAGGCCCUGCUUUUGUGGGGUGCUCGAGUGGCGAACGGGUGAGUAACACGUGAGUAACCUGCCCUUGACUUUGGGAUAACUUCAGGAAACUGGGGCUAAUACCGGAUAGGAGCUCCUGCUGCAUGGUGGGGGUUGGAAAGUUUCGGCGGUUGGGGAUGGACUCGCGGCUUAUCAGCUUGUUGGUGGGGUAGUGGCUUACCAAGGCUUUGACGGGUAGCCGGCCUGAGAGGGUGACCGGCCACAUUGGGCCUGAGGUACGGCCCAGACUGCUACGGGAGGCAGCAGUGGGGAAUAUUGCACAAUGGGCGGAAGCCUGAUGCAGCAACGCCGCGUGCGGGAUGACGGCCUUCGGGUUGUAAACCGCUUUCGCCUGUGACGAAGCGUGAGUGACGGUAAUGGGUAAAGAAGCACCGGCUAACUACGUG
rnacentral:rRNA from 1 species